GCGGGAAUGGCGGUGAGCAUCGCCUUGCCAAGGCGAGGGUCGGAGGUUCGAAUCUCCUUUUCCCGCUCCA
rnacentral:tRNA from 1 species